GCCGCCCCAGACCGAGCCUUACCUGCCCCCCGCCCAGCCGCCCCCCGCGCAGUCCCCGCCGCUCCAGCCCUACCUGCCCCGGGCGCAGCCCCUCCCAGCCGCCCCCCUCCUUCUCCGAGCCCCCGCCCUCCUACCUGGAGCCCUCGACGGCCGCCGCCUCCCAGCCCUACCUGCCGCCUCCUGCCCAGGGCUACAUGGCGCAUCCCCAGCCCUACCUGCUCUCCUCCCAGGCCUCUCCUUCCCAGCCCGCCCUGGCCCCCUCCAUCCCUCCCCCGGUGAAGCCAUCGCAGGCUCAUUUCCCCCCGCCCCAGACGUCCCUGCCCCCGCCCGCCGCUGCCCCGCCGGAGGCAGCGCAAGGUGCCGCCAAGGAGGGCGGUGGCACGGAGCAGCCGGACCCCUCCACCAUGACUCCCCAGGAACAGCAGCAAUACUGGUACCAGCAGCACCUGCUUAGCCUGCAGCAAAGGGCAAAAGCCCAUGCUCAGGGACAGCAGCAGAUGAAAAGCCCAGUAGUGAAAGAAGAGCAGAGAGCAAAGUCUGAAGAAGAGAAAAUGAGUGCUUCAGCUCAACAGUCUGAACCUCCUGCUCUUAAUGAAUCCCUGCCUCCAGCAUCCAAAGAAGAGGAGUCUUCUCUUACAUCCACUGAAACUCAGCUCAAUAUUGAACCUCCUGAUGACCCUGAGGAGGAUUUGAGAUUGCAGCAAUUGCAAGCAGCAGCAGCUCAAUGGCAGCAGCACCCUCAUCAGCGGGUUGGGUUCCAAUAUCAGAGAAUAAUGCAGAAGCACGCUCAGCUGCAGCAGAUAGUACAGCAGUAUCAACAGAUCAUGCAACAGCCUCCACACUUAGAGACAAUGUCAGUGGACAUGCAGCUGCGACAUUAUGAGGCACAGCAAAAACAGUUCCAGCAGCUUCAUAAAGAUUGGGAGCGAUCAAUGAACCAGCAGUGGCAGCAUCAGCUUCAAACCUACCCUCACAAAGAUCAGCUUCAAGAGUAUGAGAAACAGUGGAAAGCAUGGGAUGAACAGAUGAAAGUUACUCAGUCACAUCUGCAGGAAAAAGUGACCUCACUCCAAAAUCUGAAGAAUCAAUAUCCUGCAAAUGUGUCGCUGCCACCUCCAUUUAUUCCAUAUUCCCAAACUGGUCAAGGUGGCAUUCCUAUUAUGCCUCCAACUUUACCUUCAACUACACCUCCACUGGUUCCCCCGCCUCUCUCUUCUGUUUCUCAGUUAUCCAAUUCCUCUGUCCAUUCAGGAUCCGGUUCUCAAAGCAGUCAAGCUACUGAAACAGCAAGGCCAGCUCUCCUUCCCACCCCUGGUACCUAUGCAUCAAAAAUAGCUAGUUCAACUAGCUAUUCACCUUACCAUUCUCAAGUAGGUUCAUCCUUUGGCACAUCUGACCAUGGAAAAUCUCAAGGUCAUCUUAGUAAACAAACUGUAAAUAUUUCAUCUGAACAGCAGUGUGGGGAACUGAAAGGCGCUUCUGCAGUGUCUUCGACACACGCUCCUGUUGUGCAGGAUAAACCGGUGAGGUCAGGUGGAUUGCUUCCAGAUCCUCCCAGAUCAGCACGUUUUGAAGGCCCUAGAGGCCCUAGAUUUGACGGACCACGAGGAAGAGGAUAUGACAAGUUUGAAGGCUCAAGGCAGAGAGGACCUCGUUUUGACUCCCAGCGCUCAGAAGGAUACAGGUCACGUUUUGACCGACAGAAUACAGAUGGACAGUCUUCAAGUAGAUGGGGCUCUAUCCCACGAGGACCAGCAGGACAAUUUUAUACAGCAAAUGCAUCACAUGGACACGGUUCCCGACCUAGUGGUCCACGGUGGAUGGGGCCCAGGCCUCAUUUGGGACAGCAGCAGCAGCAGACACAGGUAGACUCACAGUCAGAAAGCAAAGAACCUUUUACAGACACAGCUGGUGAUCAGCAGUCUGUAAGCAGAACUGAGUCUACUCCUGAUGCACAGAGUGCAGGUCCCAUUGAGCCAAAUGAGGACCUGACAGACACUCAACAGGAGCCAUCCAAACCUGAAGUGAAAGAACCUAGUUCAGACCCUCCUAAAAAGUGGACAUGGAGUUCACAUGAUCCCAACCAGCAAGUAGAAGAGUCCAAGGCACCCACCCCACCUAUUCAGAACCAGAAUACAGUACCCCCUGCAGAAGGAAAUGAGGAUUUGGAUUCACCUGAUGGCCAGUUGACUGCUUCAGAUAGCACCCAGGGCCUACCUGGACCGGAAGGCAGAGGAAAAGGGCCAUUCAUGCAUGAAGAUAGAGGAAAGGGACCAGGAAGCAGAGGAAGGGGCCGUGGCAGAGGGCAAGGGGAGGGCCGUGGCUGGGGAAUGGGCCGUGGCCGGGGAAUGGGAAGGAUGGAUGGUGGCCGGGGAAUGGGAAGGAUGGAUGGUGGUUGGGGAAUGGGCAGGAUGGAUGAUGGCCAUGGCCGGGGAAUGGGCAGGAUGGACGAUGGCCGUGGUAGAGGAUAUGUGUACAGAGGCAGAGGGCAGGCUAGGCAGCCAUCCAUCCGUGGCAGGGGAGCAUUCAGGAGGGCAGACAGCAGGGAGAGGAUGCCAGAUAGACGGUCAGGCAGCAGGGAGAGGAUGCCAGAUGGACAGUCAGGCAGCCGAGAGAGGGGGCUGGGUGGACGGUCAGAUAGCCAUGAGAGGGUAUUCUCUAACCGAGACAGAGAGCCACCUGGACGGACAGGCAGCUGGGACAGGGGACGGGCAGGAAGCCGGGAGAGAGGCCCGGUGAGACGCGCCUCUAGCCGGGAAAGAGAGCCCAUGCGGCGGGCAGGUAGCCGGGAGAGGGAGCCCAUGCGGCGGGCGGGUAGCCGGGAGAGGGUCCCCGUCAGGCGGGCAGGUAGCCGGGAGAGGGUCCCCAUCAGGCGGUCAGGUAGCCGGGAGAGGGAUCUGGGCAGGCGGGCAGGUAGCCGGGAGAGGUGUCCCAUCAGAAGGGGAGAUAGCCAUGAGAGGGAAGCAGGAAGAUCUGAAACAGGCAGUAUGGGUAAACCCAUUCACCUAGGAGAUGACCCUGACAAAUUGCCUCCGUACCAUCGAGAUGAAACAUUCAGGGGUUCUUGGGGUCAUGAAGACGAUACAAUGCAGGAGGAAUUUCCUUUAGAUAGUCAAGAUGACCCAUCUUUGGAGCAUGAGCAGUUAGAUGAGUGGGAAAGAGAACAAUACUGGAGAGAUCACAACUCUGAUUAUCAGGAUGAUUCUGUACAUGUGUAUGACAGAGAUGACAGGUUGCAAUCCCACCAUUCACUGCCUCCAUUGUCUCCCCUACCACCACUACCUCCUUUAUCAUCUGAUCACGACAGACGAGAUUCGUGGUGGGAUGACUGGAAAAGGCCAAGAGAAAGGGAACUGGAGAGAGAUCUAGAUAGAACUGGAAGAUCCUCAGAUAUUUAUGAUCAAGAUUUAGACAAAGAAUGGGAUAGAGACUGGGACACGAGACCUAUGGAUGACAGAGAAAUGGGGAAUCGUGACCUGGAUAUCCCCCCUCUACCACCAUUACCACCCCUUCCACCUCUAGACAGGUAUCGUGAGGAUAGGUGGAGGGACGAUAGGAACAGAGAUCAUUAUGACAGAGAUCUCCGAGACAGAGGCGAGCUUAGGAUUCGAGAAUAUCCGGAGAGAUACGACACGUGGCGGGAGAAGCAAGACUACCUUCCCGAAAGGACUGACUGGGAGAGGGAACGCUUGUCAGAUAGGUGGUAUCCAGAUGAUGGAGAGAGACUGAGGUCUCUGGAUGACCACUCAGAUACAUCCCUUCCUCCCCCUUCACAUUCCUCUGAUAUGCUGGGAGCAGAUUCAAACCUGGACUCUGACCAGUCCUUGGGAGGAGUGAUGGUCCUAAGCCAAAGACAGCAUGAGAUAAUUCUGAAGGCUGCCCAGGAGCUCAAAAUGCUUCGGGAGCAAAAAGAACAGCUACAGAAGUUGAAGGAGUUCAAACCUGACAUUUCCACCCAAGACUCUCCAAGACCACAGAACACAAGCACAAGGCCAGGUGCCUUUCAGGAACGCUGGGAUGAGGACUCUUUCCACGGACUGUGGGACACAAAUGAGGAUAAAGGUGCCAAUAUGGAGUACGAGUUGUGUAAGCAGGAGUCCAUGAUGCCUCCCCCUGUCUCCUCGCCUGUGAAGGUGCCUGCUGUCCACACUUCCAUUCCAUCAGCUGUACCAGUGUCCCUUUCUCCGGUUAUUCCAGCAGUUCCCAAAGCACCCAUCAUUCAGCAAACGGUGGAUUAUGGCCACGGGCGAGAUAUAACCACGAGUAAAGUGGAACAGAUUCCAUAUGGGGAAAGGAUAACCCUUCGUCCAGAACCUCUACCGGACAGGCAAACAUUUCAAAAAGAGCAUCCAGGUCGCUACAAUAGAGAAAGAGAUCGUGAGCCUUAUUUUGAGCGUCAGGGUAAUUCCAGCACAGAUCAUCGGGAUUUCAAGAGGGAGCGGGAAUUGCACAGAGACCGAGGCUCUGUGGACUACGAACGAGAGAGGUUUGACAAGGAGCGGCAUCCCCGAGACGACAGGGUUCUUCCUACCACGCCUUCAAGGACUCAGUCUUACCGUGACAAGAAAGACCAUCCAUCCUCCAGGCGAGGUGGUUUUGACAGGCCACCAUAUGAACGAAAGACAGAUCGUCCAGCAUAUGAUCAUGGGCCUCCCAUGUUUGGAGAAAAUUCUUCUGUCCAAACACUGGAAUUUGAAGGUGAUCGUAGAAAUUACCCUGAGGAAAGGAUUCCUAUUUCUGCUCCAUCAAUGCCUCGUCAGCCACCACCAGCUCCACGAGUAGAAAGGAAGCCAGAAUCUAAAAAUGUAGAUGAUAUUUUAAAGCCACCAGGACGGGAUAGCAGGCCAGAGAGGAUUGUGAUCAUCAUGAGAGGGUUACCUGGCAGUGGAAAGACACAUGUAGCAAAACUCAUCAGGGAUAAGGAAGUAGAAUGUGGAGGACCUGCACCAAGAGUGCUCAGCCUGGAUGACUACUUUAUCACUGAAGUGGAGAAAGAGGAGAGAGACCCAGAUACAGGGAAAAAAGUUAAAAAAAAGGUGAUGGAGUACGAAUAUGAGGCUGAUAUGGAGGAGACCUACCGUACCAGCAUGUUUAAAACUUUCAAAAAGACCUUGGACGACGGCUUCUUUCCCUUCAUUAUCCUUGAUGCUAUCAAUGACAGAGUGCGACACUUUGAACAGUUUUGGAGUGCUGCAAAAACAAAGGGGUUUGAGGUGUACUUAGCUGAAAUGAGUGCAGAUAACCAGACAUGUUCCAAGAGGAAUAUUCAUGGGCGCAAGCUAAAGGAUAUCAGCAGGAUGUCUGAUCACUGGGAGGCAGCACCACGCCACAUGAUGCGCCUGGACAUUCGUUCUCUGCUGCAGGAUGCUGCUAUUGAAGAGGUGGAGAUGGAGGAUUUUGAUGCAAAUAUUGAAGACCAGAAAGAAGAAGCAAAGAAGGACACAGCAGAGGAAGAAGAAAGUGAACUGGGUUACAUUCCGAAAAGCAAAUGGGAGAUGGACACUUCUGAGGCAAAGCUAGACAAGCUGGAUGGUUUGCGGACUGGCACUAAAAGAAAACGUGACUGGGAAGCAAUUGCCAGCAGAAUAGAAGAUUAUCUGCAGCUUCCAGAUGACUAUGAUACACGUGCUUCUGAACCUGGAAAGAAAAGGGUGCGAUGGGCAGAUCUAGAAGAAAAAAAAGAUGCUGACAGGAAAAGGGCCAUCGGUUUUGUUGUUGGACAGACUGACUGGGAGAAGAUAACAGAUGAAAGUGGUCACCUUGCUGAGAGAGCCCUCAACCGCACCAAGUAUAUAUGAAAAAGUGGUUAAGUGGAUUUUUGUGCCUUUGAGGCCAUUUGCUCUGCAGAGAAGUGAACCAAGGUGUCAUGAGCAUCUUGCAUGGGUCAUGUCACUCCCACCUUCACAGUUUUUCUUUGUUACUUCAAUUUCAGCAAUUUUCUUGAGAUACUGGCAGAUAACUGGCAGUGCCCUCAAAAAACUCAUUGAAUCCCACUACUCCUAAGUUUUUCACCUGCUCUUCUUCUCAUAGACAGAUCCAUUAAGACCCCAGGUCUUGCUGGCCUUUAGGAGUUCAUGUUCUUGGAAAGCAGGAAUAUCAUUAUGUUUGGAUCCUAGUUUCUCGGUUAUGUCAAAUUUUCAUUACUACGUGAGUAUGAAUUCUGUUGGGUGGUUUUGUAAUGUUCAAGGUAGCAGUGUAUGCAAAACUUGUCUUUCAUGCUCAAUAUGAAAACAGGUGCUACAGAGUUUUCUGAGGGGCAGCCUAGAAAAUUGGUUUUGGUCUUCUUAUGUCUUUAUUCAACACUAAUCCCUAUCAGGGUAUUUAAUUCCAUUCAUAAGUCUACUGAGUCAUAGAGAAACAUCAUUAAAAGAAGUGACAAAGACCAGAAGCUGUAGCCUUCUUUUCCUUUGGUAAAUGUGUUAAGCUUGCUGAAAAAAAAGAUGAGUGAAUAACAGUCCACACUACUAAAAGUGGUACAGAUUCUUCAUAGAUGCUGGGAUAUCGCUGCUGCAGAGCAUCAAGUUUGCUGGUGAAAACUUUCUUUUGUCCUCACAGGUUUCAAGGCAAAUGCUUUGCAUUUAUGAUGUCAUAACCAGGAAAGAUGUUUAAAUCUGAAAAUAAUCACUGUUUUAAUAUUGAAUGGAAUUUUUCUCCUGAUCUUUCUGAGGAAAGAAAAUUAAGUCCUGAAUUUUCCUUCUUUGUUGAAUGAUUACAUUGUGCUUUGCAUCUAGGUUGGUAAAUCAGCUUUUCUGGUGUGGUGGUGUAGUUUAGGUUGUUAAAGGAGACCAUGGUUGUAAUAGAUGGAUUUGUUUGCCAUUCUUAUGUUUUGGUUUAUUGGCUGCUUCUUAGCCUUCUCUGUGGUGCAUCAUUAAAAGUUCUUCAGUAAACAAGGGGAAUAGCUGAACCUGUAUUAUGCCCCGAAUAUGUUUAAUACAAGAAAAUUGAGCUCCCUGAAUGCAGCAUUUUUAAAAUAGAAGGUAUUAAAUGUACAUUUUCUGCGUACACUUACUUUACAUAGCAUAUAUGCUUCUCAAAAUAUUGCUCAGUAAGUACUCUUUGAAUUGUGAUGGAGAAUUGUUGACAAAAGAAAACUAAUAGUUAACAAGAAAUGAGUACUGUGUAUUGCUGUGGAAGUCAGGUGAGCUUCACUUUGGAGAAGUUACUCUCAGGUAUGUGUAAAAUGGGUUUCAGUCUAUACUCAGUUUUUCAUAACAAAACUGGAGUUCUUGUGGCACACCAUGAGUUGAUGCUGCUUCUUGACUCUUAAGAACUGAUAGUGAUUUUGUCUGUAUUUUUGGUAAUACAACUGUACCAGAUCCUUUUCUAACAUUUUUCUUUUCAGACGAAAGAGUACUUCUGGAGCAUUCAAAUGGAUGGUGUCUAUCAGAAGUUAUAAUAUUGUUUACUGGUUUUACAAAUUUUGAAAUUAUUUUACCAGAUAAUACUGAGAGGUUAUGUCAUGCUGUUUAUUCUGUGGUGCAUGUAGAACUAAAGAAAAAUGAGCAGAGAAUAUACAUAAAAAUAUACUUUACUUUGAUGAGAACUGACAGAAAAUAUAUCAGUCUUGAAGUUUAAAGCAAAAUUCAGUUAUGAAAACAUACCAUUGUAGACUGUUGUCAGACUGUUUGACCAGAAAAGGCUGAAGGGCUUGGGUUCUGUUGUUUUCCUGAAGUUCAGUUGUUUUCCCCUUCUUUAGUACAGAAAUAGCAAUAUAUCCAUAAUCUUUGCCAUUUGUUUCAGUUGGUUUGAACGCUUAGCAGAUCACACUUCAACUUCUUGAUGGGAAGUGGCUCUGAAAGAAAAUAAUUUAUGCCAGAACUACAACCUAUAGCAGAUUCUACAUACUCCAGACAUUCAGUGACUGAAGAAAUCAAGCAAAAAGGAAAAAUUCAUCAUUGCUGCUGGCAGAACUGAGGAUAGCUAGCUAGUCCCUUGCUUGGCUCCUAACCAGAGGUUGGUGAUUAGUGAUUUUGCUUUUGUCUGGGAAGUCCCUAAGUACAGAAUACAUUGUCUUGAUCUUGAUUUAGCUCUUAUGCUCACUGAAAUUGUCAGUAGAACCUUUCACAGCACUGAGCAGAAUGAAUACCAACUUUCAUUGAUAUCUAAAUAGGAAGAUAUGCAUCUAGCACUCUCAUGUAAUGAUCCAUCUUUGACCAUGCGUGCAAUUGUGCUGACUCUUAAGUUAGCUGUUUCUGUGCAUCACAUUGAAAAAUUCAGCUCUGAAAAAAACAUCAGCUACUGCAGAAUGGACUUGCUACCUUCUCAGCAAAGUUGACUGUUGAAACAGUAUUUUCUGUGAAUUAUAGUUUCUUAUGACACUUCAAGUUUUUUCAAGUCAGUUUGCUUUUUUAAUAUUGAAGCUACUUGUCUCAUGAGAGAAGUACAUGUGGUUUUUACAAGGGAAUGUGCAACAUACUGUGCUAUGUGAAUAGAGCACAGUUGUCAUCUUCAGUCACCUUGUGUUUUACCGUAGGAUUGCUCAUGAAGCGUGAUGGUCUGACUUGGGAAGAAAGAGUGAAACAAUAGCUGAGAGUAUUAGGUCAGUUCUAGAAAUUUGUUUUUCUGUUUCCUCAAAUGUUUACAUCAACAAAGAUAAAUAACUUACCUUGCAUUAUUAGUUCCCAGUCUUUUGAAGGGAAGAAUUGGUAUAGGUACAAGUUAGUUUUACUUUUCACACAUCAAGUUGGGUUUGGCAUUUUUUGGACUUUGCUUCAGUCAUCUUUGUUAACCCUGUCCAUUAGUUUUUCCUCGCCUGUCUCUCGAUACAUAGAGUACAUCACUCCUCUUUUCUCUUUGUAAGGCGUUGUUUUAACUAUUUUCAGAAGCCUUUUAAUCUCUGAGCAACUGUUUAGGUAACCAUGGGGAUACUGAGAGGAUUUCAGUAGAAUCUUUUCUGAAAGAGUUGAAUUGGAAAAGUGGAGUUGUAACAUUACACUGAAAUAUAUAUGAACCUAUCCCCAAAAAGCCCACCCUAAUGCAGUUGAAUAGUUGAAAAUUAUCAUAGAACUGUAAGUUGCAAGUCAUGUUAGAAAAUGUGAUUCCUACAGAAGUAUAGUCCAUUGGUAGUGUGCUUUCAAAUGAGAGAAGAACAUGACCUCAGAGCCAAAAUCACUUUUUCCCAAUUUGAGAUUUCAGCAUCAUCGGAACACUUUGAGAAUCCUUUUGAAAGGAAUGAAGUAAUUCUGCCUGUGGGACACAUUGCUGUCAUCUAAACAAAUUUAUUAUUACCAGAAGAAAAAAUACUUUGUUCAUUUAUAUAAAUGCAGCUUUCAUGGUGAAUCAUUUUUUGCCCUUAGGACACAAUUUCCCUUAGCAGGCUGUGCCAUCUCAUGUUGCUGCCACCCACACAAUACUGGACAGACCUUGGGAUUUGAAGAAAUAUGGUUGAGCUGGGUUUGGAAGCAAAAUAUGCUUUUUUGCUAUGAAGUUUGUGGUGUCUCUGGCAGCAUGCAGCUAGGUAGCUGUGAGCUGACUGAACUGAAGGCCUGGAGCUCCUGGGAGUAUUGUAAUUCAGCGUUCAAGGACUGGAAAGGAGAAGCAAUACUGCAUUUUCUUUGCUUAUAGAAUGUUCGCAUGGCAUGCAUCCUCGGGAAGCUAAAUAAUGAUGGAUACAUGGUGCUUUCUGUUAUGUCUCACUUCACUGUUUAAUGUUUCCCAGAUUACUUCUGGAAAAUGAGUUCUAAAUUCUCAUCUUGGGUCCACUGACAAUUUGUGAUCAAACUGCAGCAGGACAACUUGCAUACUAUGAGGUAAAAUAUUUGAGGAGGAGAGGUGGCCAUCUCACUUGAGAUCUGUACACUUGGAGCAUCAGCUAUUCUUAAACUGUGGUUAUGCUUAGUUUUCUUGUCAUAAUAGAAAUGAGAAGACAAAGAACAAAAGUUUCAUAGAAUUUAAAAUAUGAGUGGCACAUUUCUAGUUUUCAGCCUCUAGGGCAAUCAUCUUUAUUCUCUUGUAAAACUUAAAUCAAAAUUGUUUUCUCUUCUGCUCAUCUGUUUCUACAAGCGUGAGUCAGAAUCCUUCAACAAACUAAAGGACUGUUUACUCCAAGGAACACUUACAAUUUCUGGUCAAGAUUAAUCACUUACUUCUUCAUGAUGAAACUGCUUUGUUUUAUUCUUACCUCUGAAGUGUUCCAGCAACUGCGAUUUUUCUUCCAAAUUUGCAUGGUACUGAAUCUGCAGCCUGGAGCCUUAAGUCUUCCUCUUGCAUGUAGAUUGGAAAAUUAGUAACAACAAUAUUCCAUUCAGGUGAAUUAUCACCUUCUAGCUGAUUAAUACUCUUUGGAAGAAGAAUGUAUUUUGAUUCACAAUUUUGCUUAAAUCAGGUAAGCUGAAGUACUGUUACCAAACAAAGGCACAGCAAGUUAGUGCAAAUGGAGAGGCUCUAGUCUCUUUGAAUUGUAGGAUUUAGUAUUUUAAUAUGCAAAACCAAAGAUGUAAAGUUGUCUUGGUGGAAAUGUCACAGUUUCAUUUUUUCCUAAGAUUUUUCUACCUCAUGGAACUCUCAGAUUGAAUCUUUUUGGGAGGGGAGACCUCUCCCUACGGCUUGUGCUCUGGAGUGUCUGUCAGUCAAGUGUUUCUCUGUACUGUUUCCCUUGUACAUGUGUACAGGGACAACUUUUGUUUCCAUAACUGGUCAAUGUACACCUGUAUGAAUGGAUGUUCAGCUUUACACAAGAAAUUCCUCAUGCUGUGCUUUAGGAGGGCAUCUGAACUGUCUGCUGGGACCAGUAUAUUCCUAUAUGAAGUUACUCUUUGAACAGUUAGUACUCUUAAAAAUACCUGAAGACUUCAAGGUUGUCAUCAUCAAUUCCUGUGAUGUUGCUGUCUUUGGAGAGAAAUUAUAACUGCAGUGGUCCUUGGGGGGGAAAAAACCAAACCCAAAGAAGGAAAAGGAGUUCAGGUACUUUUACUCUAAUUAUCAGAGCUGGAAUCUGUCUUGUGUGGGUAGAAUGUGCUAGCAGCUCCACUGUCUGAGAUGUCUGAUUUAGAUACUGGCUGCAUAUAUGUUUAUGGAGGAGAAUCUUAAAUUAAUCCCUGCCAUUUUUUGCCUGCAGGUCAAGAGCAUAGUUGAGCAAGCUGCUUUAGAAAGCAGUUUGUCUUGAAGACGCUUUUUAAGGGUUACAUGUAAACUGAAACAUUACCAAAGGAAAGAAAAAAAGUCUUUG